rnacentral:lncRNA from 1 species
ACUUUGGGGGAACUUUAUAUUCAGAUAUUUAAUUGUUCACCUGUGUAAAAAAUCUCAGAGUCAUUUAUAACAUCUACUAUAUACAAAAACUUAAAUGCAUUGUAAAUUUAUUUAGCUAAUAAAGAAUCUGUUCCAUCAGAAAGAGCCAGGACAUACUUGUCAUUCCUUAGUUGUCUAUUUUAACUAAUGUGUUGCCAAAAAAACACUGAAGACAAGAUUUUGUAGUUUGUGUCUGCAAAAGGUAUUUGUGACUUUUGAAGUAUAUUAUUACUACAUGCUGGAAGAAGUUCAAGGCUAACAAGUGAGAUUCUCCCGAAGAAGGUUGAGUAUUCGUUUUGGAAAGGAUCUUGUCUAAAAUUAAUGUAAGAAUUACUUAACUGGGGUUUCCUUGUUGCUCACAAUCAACUUUAGAGAUAGCAGUGGUCCUUAUAAACUUAAAGUAUAGUGAUAGUGUGCAAAAUGAAUCAUUCAGCAAGACUAUUCAAGUUGUAUUCUUGUAAAUUAAUAACUGGACUGUUUGUAUGUUCCCUGGACUUUGUCUUUCUUCAGUAAGAAUACUAUCAUGCAGAAAAGCCAUAAAUCAAAUACUCUGAACACCUUUUAAAUGGGCCAGAACUGGAAUGUGAUAGCUCCCUAACAAUAGUUCACACUGUAACAACUCUAAUUAGGCUUGUUCCAGUAUUUAUCGCAUAUAAAUUCAACAAAAGUGCCAAAAGACCAUUUAAUAGACUAUUUAUAGUACUUUUUAUUAAGGAAAUUGAAGACACUUAAUUUUUAUGCAAUAAUUUUGAGUCUUUUCUUUGCAGGCUGUCACAGAACAAUUCAUUUAAUAUCCAAAGUCCCUGAAAGAUGACAGAAAUAUGAAGAUUGCUUGCAAUAUGGAAGAAGCUGAAAAUGGACAUGAGAGAGAACAGGAGGAAAUGCAGUAUGGUACUUUCAAAAGUAAUUGGUCAGGAGAAAAUUACUGCAAACGUAGAUACUUACUGGAAGGAAACUGCAGAAAUGACAGAAAUGGCCUAGAGAUGACAACACAUUUAAAAAUGAGGUAA